rnacentral:rRNA from 1 species
AGAGUUUGAUCCUGGCUCAGGAUGAACGCUAGCGGCAGGCUUAACACAUGCAAGUCGAGGGGCAGCGCGGGAGUAGCAAUACUUCUGGCGGCGACCGGCGGAAGGGUGCGUAACACGUGAGCAACCUGCCCGGAGCAGGGGGACAAGCGCUGGAAACGGCGUCUGAUACCCCGUACGGCCUUUGGGGGCAUCCCCAGUGGCUGAAAGCCGCGAGGCGGCUCCGGAUGGGCUCGCGGGGCAUUAGCCAGUCGGCGGGGUGACGGCCCACCGAAGCUACGAUGCCUAGGGGUUCUGAGAGGAAGGCCCCCCACACUGGGACUGAGACACGGCCCAGACUCCUACGGGAGGCAGCAGUGAGGAAUAUUGGACAAUGGGGGAGACCCUGAUCCAGCCAUGCCGCGUGAAGGACUGAGGCCCUACGGGUCGUGAACUUCUUUUGACGCGGAGCAAUAAGGCCUACGUGUAGGCCGACGAGAGUACGCGUCGAAUAAGCAUCGGCUAACUCCGUGCCAGCAGCCGCGGUAAUACGGAGGAUGCGAGCGUUAUCCGGAUUCAUUGGGUUUAAAGGGUGCGUAGGCGGAGCCUUAAGUCAGCGGUGAAAUGCCCCGGCCCAACCGGGGAGCUGCCGUUGAUACUGGGGUUCUGGAAUGCGGGUGCCGUGGGAGGAAUGUGUGGUGUAGCGGUGAAAUGCAUAGAUAUCACACAGAACACCGAUUGCGGAGGCAUCUCACGAACCCGCCAUUGACGCUGAGGCACGAAGGCGUGGGGAUCGAACAGGAUUAGAUACCCUGGUAGUCCACGCGGUAAACGAUGAUGGCUAACCGCCGGCGAUACACAGUCGGUGGCCAAGCGAAAGCGAUAAGCCAUCCACCUGGGGAGUACGGCCGCAAGGCUGAAACUCAAAGGAAUUGACGGGGGCCCGCACAAGCGGAGGAACAUGUGGUUUAAUUCGAUGAUACGCGAGGAACCUUACCCGGGCUCGAACGGGCGGUGAACGACCCAGAGAUGGGGAGGCCCUACGGGGCGCCGUCCGAGGUGCUGCAUGGUUGUCGUCAGCUCGUGCCGUGAGGUGUCGGCUCAAGUGCCAUAACGAGCGCAACCCUUGCCGUCAGUUGCCAGCGGGUUAGGCCGGGGACUCUGGCGGGACUGCCACCGCAAGGUGAGAGGAGGGGGGGGAUGACGUCAAAUCAUCAUGCCCCUUAUGACCUGGGCCUCACACGUACUACAAUGGCUGCCAACAGAGGGAAGCGAAGCAGUGAUGCAGAGCAAAUCCCCAAAAGCAGUCUUAGUUCGGAUUGCAGGCUGAAACUCGCCUGCAUGAAGUCGGAAUUGCUAGUAAUCGCAGAUCAGCAUGCUGCGGUGAAUACGUUCCCGGGCCUUGCACUAACCGCCCGUCAAG